rnacentral:lncRNA from 1 species
AGAUUCUUUUGGGAGAUUUUCUGGGAGAAUUGGUCUGACAGCUAUUCUGUGUCCCUCUAGAUCACAUGGAUGUGUUAAGGAAGAUAUUUUGGGUAGCCACGUGGACAUGCCAGGGAAAUUUGCAUUUUCUAGGUCUAGGGAAGCAUACGUGGUAGAGACAGACUAUAAGACUUAUGCCAUAGUGAAUGUUUCCAUGUUAAAGAACGGGAUGACACUUAGUGCCUUGAAGUUUUUCAGUACGUGCUGGGACCACAGAGCUGGAGUCAGAGGGGAUUGUGACCACAUUGGAAACACAGCAGAUAUGGGAGAUCUGAGAAAAACUGAUGGAAAAGCAGAAUGAUCAGUCUGUCCUCAAUGAGGCUAAGCCUCCACUUGGUCUCAAAUAUUGAUUGCCAUGGAUUGGGGAGGGGAGGAAUGUAGCACAAAUAGCCUUCUUCAGUUUUAAGACCAGCUUCUAACUUCUUAGAUCGGGGUUUUACACUUGCUGUUCCCCGAACACUUAACCUUCCUUUCUCUGUAGUCCAGAAGGGAGGGAGAGAAUUAGUGGUCCCCAUCUUGGGAAGCCAGUGGGGCACUCUGUAUAAGCAACAGUGAUAUAACUUCUGAUGAAGAAGGAUGAUUGUCAUUCUUUGCUCCACAAUUAGCCCAGUUUCCAGGAUGAUAUUUUAUUUUAACAUCUUACCAUUGGGAGCAUUGGCUGCUUAGCAUUAUGAUUCCUUCUUUUCUCCUUUUGUAAGACAUUUGCCUAUCCCUGGUUCUUUGCUAUCCUUAAAUGGUUCCCCAGUUCUAAGCAAUGUAUAUGUUAUGUACUUUAUUCAUAGGUCGAACCCUGGAGAACACUGAUAAAGGUUUGAAGAGAUUAAGAGAAAUUAGUGAACAAAUUGGGAUCUCCAGGGAUAAUGUAUUCAUGUUGAUCUAUGAUGGUAAAAACGCUUUUAUCUUUCCUGGGGGAAGAAUAACCCUACUCUGAAACACUGGAGCCUUUCUAGAUUCUGGAACCCCUUUACUCUCUCUGCCUCUCAUUGACUUUUCUUUCAUUUCUUAGAUACAUGUGUGAAGAUGUUGAAGAAGGUGAAUCCCUUUGUAUCACUGUUAUUCAUUGGAAUCGAUAGCAAGAGAGACAUAACUUCUGCAGCCCAAGACGCUGGCACCAUAAUGAUACAACAUAACUGCUUGGCAUUUGAUGGGAAAAGUUUUUUUCUUUUUUCUUCCCUUUGUCCCUAUAUAUGGCAAGGAACAAAGCUUAAGGAGAAAAUGUUCUAACCCUGAAAAUGUUGAGAUGUUCUUAGGAAUAACUUUGAAAAAUGUCUGAGGGUGUACUUUGCUCUUUAGAGGAAUUUAUGGCCAACAAGUAUGGAUUCUGAUAAAAUAGAACAGGUGGAGCAGUGCUUGUAUAUGGAAGAAAGGGAGAGGUGGGAUCUAUUCCAUUUAUAUUUAGGGAAUUUCUGGAGGGUGUACUCUGCUCUUUGAAGGAAUUUAUAACCAACAAGUAUGGAUUCUGAUGAAGUGGAACAGGUGGAGCAGUGCUUGUAUAUGGAAGAAAGGGAGAGGUGGGAUCUAUUCCAUUUAUAUUUAGGGAACUAUGAAACCUUUUUUCCAUCUGCUAUCUUUUACUCAUGGGCAAACCAUCUCACUUUAUUUUUCUCUUCAUUCUAAGCACUGUCUAGGAGGUGUUCUCCCAUAUUCUGCUAGCCUCCUGGGUCCACUGAGGGCAGUGAGAGGAAGCUUUAGAAAAUGGUAGCAUAGGAAAGUUACCUUUUAGACUCCCCUCCUAGGAGGCACAUCAGGUUUUUAUCCUGUUCUGGAGGUAAUAGUUGGUCUCUGUGGCAUUUACUCUCAAUUCUAUUUUUCAGUAGUGAUCCAUGAUGGGGAUUUCUUUAUUUAAGAUCCUCAAAGGAGUCCAACCAAUUUUUAUUUGUCUGCUCUGAACAUAUCAGAAAGUGGGUACUAUUUGUUAUCUGACACCUCUACCUUCUAGUGAACAAUGAAAAGGCUCAGACAUUUUGGUGGUCUAUAUGAACACCAAGAAACAGGGGGUCAGAUAAUUUCCGUCUAAAAACAUCACAGUACAUUAUCUUAAGCCAGUGUUCUAGGGAAGCAGAAGGCAUUUGUGCAAUCUAGCCCCAUUUUAAUGGGUUUAUUCUUACUUCUUCUUAUGUAGGUUGAAUGGGAAGGAGAAUUCAAAGGUUAUUUCUGGGGAGACUAAUUAGUUCUAAUUUAAAUCUUUGGUGUUCUCUUUGGAAAGAGGAUUAUUACCAAAAUGUAAUAAGAAAUUAGUUGUGCCAAUUUCAUAUCACUUAUAGUUUUAUGAAGUUUCCUCAGUGACAUAUACUAUCUUCACCUUGACAAAUAUUUAUUAAUCUCAGCCUCAAGUUGUUUGUACACGCAUAACAUAAUUCCCUCUAUCCUUUCUGUGUUGCAGGAUAAUUUGUAGAAGAGCAUAUUUUGGUUACCAGUGGAGAAAGUUACCUGCCCUGCCUCCAAGGAUUCACAGACUUGAUGGUCCUUUUUCUCCUUCUCCAUCCUUCCAUCCUUCUAUCCUCUCUUUCCAUAUCCCCAACCUCUCUCAUAGGGUUAGUCUCAGUAUUGAAUAAAUUUAUAUUCCAAACUGCUCUCUUAUGUGCU